rnacentral:rRNA from 1 species
UACGGCGGGCGCAAGCGUUGUUCGGAAUCACUGGGCGUAAAGCGCGUGUAGGCGGCUUGGCAAGUCGGGUGUGAAAUCCCGAGGCUCAACCUCGGAACUGCACUCGAAACUGCCUCGCUCGAGUCCCGGAGAGGGUGGCGGAAGUCCCGGUGUAGGGGUGAAAUCCGUAGAUAUCGGGAGGAACACCAGUGGCGAAGGCGGCCACCUGGCCGGUGACUGACGCUGAGACGCGAAAGCGUGGGGAGCAAACAGG